rnacentral:rRNA from 1 species
UGGGGAAUUUUGGACAAUGGGCGAAAGCCUGAUCCAGCAAUGCCGCGUGUGUGAAGAAGGCCUUCGGGUUGUAAAGCACUUUUGUCCGGAAAGAAAUCCUUGGCUCUAAUACAGUCGGGGGAUGACGGUACCGGAAGAAUAAGCACCGGCUAACUACGUGCCAGCAGCCGCGGUAAUACGUAGGGUGCAAGCGUUAAUCGGAAUUACUGGGCGUAAAGCGUGCGCAGGCGGUUUGCUAAGACCGAUGUGAAAUCCCCGGGCUCAACCUGGGAACUGCAUUGGUGACUGGCAGGCUAGAGUAUGGCAGAGGGGGGUAGAAUUCCACGUGUAGCAGUGAAAUGCGUAGAGAUGUGGAGGAAUACCGAUGGCGAAGGCAGCCCCCUGGGCCAAUACUGACGCUCAUGCACGAAAGCGUGGGGAGCAAACAGGAUUAGAUACCCUGGUAGUCCACGCCCUAAACGAUGUCAACUAGUUGUUGGGAUUCAUUCCUUAGUAACGUAGCUAACGCGUGAAGUUGACCGCCUGGGGAGUACGGUCGCAAGAUUAAAACUCAAAUGAAUUGACGGGGUCAUAGCUGUUUCCU